rnacentral:lncRNA from 1 species
AAUGGUCCUCCAUUUGCGUUUAGGUGCAUCGCUUGGAAGUGACCCAGUCCUCCCUAAUUUGAGCGGAUCUCCUGUGGUUGAAUACUUGUGAGUGGACCCCUUCUUAACUUGCUUGUUUUUAUAAAAUAUUAGGCUUGCAUUCACGAAAAGCAUGAUUUCAUGAUUUUACAUCUUAUGCAUUAUUUAUGACUUUGGAGAAUUCAUGAUUUAUUCUCCUUUAUGAAAUAGUUUUGAUUUAUCUAUUUAAGGUUUAUAAAAUGGCAUCUUUAUGGAAAACACGUUUAUGGAAUUGCCUAUGAUUUAUUUAUGGUUUAUGAAUUGAGGCUUUGAGCUUUUGAGCUCUAGUGAUUUGGUAUGAUUUUUUAGAUAUGUUUUCAGUGCUUAUCUAGUGGGUUAUCAUACAACACAUACACACAACACGAGUGUGUAAACGUCUAUGGCCAUAGGACAUAGUUGAA